GCCGGCACCCCAGGAACAAUAAG
rnacentral:piRNA from 1 species